GGCUGAGCAGGAAGAAGAUGCUGAGCUGAAACGGGCCCCAUUCCCCGAGGAACGCCGUGACUUCAUCAUAGUCCACAGACGCCAUGAGUGUGUGAGUAGCUGGAGUUUCCUGUUCUCUCUCUCUUUCUAUCUUUCCCUGUCGAGCUACUCAUGGCAUUCCAGAGCUACUAGUGAUUCCGACCCCCCUCUGUCCUCUGGACUUGUCUGACUCAUCCUGGUCCCGCGCCUCCGGCUGGAAAGCCCGUCACGUGGAGGCCCCGUGUGUCAUGAUUGUGGAUGGUUCCGCUUGACCAUGAGGAUGGUGUUGGACUCAAAAACAGCUGUUCACUGAUGAAUUCCGCAUCACUUCUAGACUAAUCACCGGCCUGAACAUCUGUCAUCAUCUGCACCUGUUUCUCUUUGAGUUAUAGGAUUCUAAUGCAUGAAGGUUAAAAACUUGCUAAAAAUGAGAGCUGGAGAAGGCGUUCAGGAGGCCUUGAGGACUAUUCUUCGAUUGUACUAUAAAAGAUUAAGUCCGGCUCUUUGUAAUCAAAAUAUGAAGAAGUGAGAGAUGAUUCAAACCUAAACACUAGGCUGUAUA